GAGUUUCUAUCACUGGAUCCUUUCAGAGAUUAUUCAUUUUGUGGCUAUCUUGCAAAGGCUAUUCGCUUGGUCUAAUGUUUCUGGUCUAAGCUCCAGUUGUCGGCAACUCCAAUCUGGAUUUAUAUCAUCCGCUCAUUUUUUUUUUUUUUUGGAAGUGAGCUUCUUUAACAUAUGGGAUUCGAUAAAUGUAUCUUGAUGAUACGCGAUGAAGGAUUAUGGGAGGUGAAUAAACAUACUCUGUCCAAUUUAUAUGAUACACCUUCCAUCUUGAAAUGUCCAAAAUAUUUGACACUAUUCAGUUAGUUAAAUAAUUUUGAAUUCUUCAAAAUUGUUAGUUAUAUAGAGAAAUUUAGUCUCCGUGUCUCAUAAGUAUGAUAAAGAGGUGUCCUGCAUUCUGAUGGUACCUGCAUCACCGUUGAAAUUGAAUUGGAAAUCAGUGCAAUUAUGACGAAGAGUGUCUUGCAUUGUGGCACUAAAAUAGUAGUGCUCCAUGUCACUUUUGAACUGGCAAUUUGUAUAACUAUGAUAAAGGAUGUCUUGCAUUGUAGUGAUAGUCUCUGUAUUACUCUUGAAGUUGAAUAAGAAAAAUUAACGGUGAAUGCAGAUAGUAAGGAAGGCUUCCUUGCAAGUAAGAAAUAAUACCAAGCUUCCCCAAUGAAGAUUAUAUGGAAAAGGGAUUCUAAUCGAAGUUCUCUACCUUUAUGGUUAAUGGAACCAUGGCGUUUUCUGAAGCUGGAAGUAGCAGCAGAGGGGGUCGGGACAGGCUAGAUCACUACCACAGCAGUGUGGUAAUUGUGGCAGAGCGCACUAUGGGCGAUGUCAGUAUGGGUCGAGAGCUUGUUAUACUUGCGGCAGCCCAGAUCAUUUUAAGCCUUUGUUGGAUACGAAACUGAGUUACACUGUGGCUUCCGUGUUUUUUCCUUUAAGACCAUAUGAAGGGAAUUUCAAACAACUUUUAAGAUUUUGAUGCACGUGUUUGGAG